rnacentral:rRNA from 1 species
GUAAUACGUAGGGGGCGAGCGUUGUCCGGAAUUACUGGGCGUAAAGGGCCGUAGGCGGCCUGAGAAGUCGCGGGUGAAAKCSCACGGCUCAACCSUGGAAUUGCCUGCGAAACCAUUGGGCUUGAGGACAGGAGAGGGAAGCGGAAUUCCCGGUGUAGCGGUGAAAUGCGUAGAUAUCGGGAGGAAUCACCAGUGGCGAAGGCGGCUUCCUGGCCUGGUCCUGACCUGAGGCGACGAAAGCUAGGGGAGCAAACAGGAUUAGAUACCCUGGUAGUCCUAGCCGUAAACGAUGGGCACUAGRUSUUGGGGGGCUCAUACCCUC